CAGCAGCCACGGUAAUACGAAGGGGGCUAGCGUUGUUCGGAUUUACUGGGCGUAAAGGGCGCGUAGGCGGACUGAUAAGUCAGGGGUGAAAUCCCAAGGCUCAACAUUGGAACUGCCUUUGAUACUGUUUGUCUUGAGUUCGAGAGAGGUAAGUGGAACUGCGAGUGUAGAGGUGAAAUUCGUAGAUAUUCGCAAGAACACCAGUGGCGAAGGCGGCCUACUGGCUCGAAACUGACGCUGAGGCGCGAAAGCGUGGGGAGCAAACAGGAUUAGAUACCCGCGUAGUCCCUGUCUCUUAUAC
rnacentral:rRNA from 1 species